rnacentral:tRNA from 1 species
GUCAAGAUGGCCGAGUUGGUCUAAGGUGUUGGUUUUAGGUACUGGUUUGAGAGGGCAUAGGUUCAAAUCCCAUUCUUGACA